rnacentral:tRNA from 1 species
GGUAUUGAUAGCUAAGUCUGGUUUAAAGCGUCUGCCUUGAAAGCAGGCGGGGCUGAUGCCCCAACGCGGGUUCGAAUCCUGCUCAAUAC